rnacentral:rRNA from 1 species
CUACGUGCCAGCAGCCGCGGUAAUACGGAAGGUCCGGGCGUUAUCCGGAUUUAUUGGGUUUAAAGGGAGCGUAGGCCGGAGAUUAAGUGUGUUGUGAAGUGUAGACGCUCAACGUCUGACUUGCAGCGCAUACUGGUUUCCUUGAGUACGCACAACGUUGGCGGAAUUCGUCGUGUAGCGGUGAAAUGCUUAGAUAUGACGAAGAACUCCGAUUGCGAAGGCAGCUGACGGGAGCGCAACUGACGCUUAAGCUCGAAGGUGCGGGUAUCGAACAGGAUUAGAUACCCUGGUAGUCCGCACAGUAAACGAUGGAUGCUCGCUGUUGGUACCUGGUAUCAGCGGCUAAGCGAAAGCAUUAAGCAUCCCACCUGGGGAGUACGCCGGCAACGGUGAAACUCAAAGGAAUUGACGGGGGCCCGCACAAGCGGAGGAACAUGUGGUUUAAUUCGAUGAUACGCGAGGAACCUUACCCGGGCUUGAA